rnacentral:rRNA from 2 species
AUACAUGCAAGUCGAGCGAAUCGACGGGAGCUUGCUCCCUGAGAUUAGCGGCGGACGGGUGAGUAACACGUGGGCAACCUGCCUAUAAGACUGGGAUAACUUCGGGAAACCGGAGCUAAUACCGGAUACGUUCUUUUCUCGCAUGAGAGAAGAUGGAAAGACGGUUUACGCUGUCACUUAUAGAUGGGCCCGCGGCGCAUUAGCUAGUUGGUGAGGUAAUGGCUCACCAAGGCGACGAUGCGUAGCCGACCUGAGAGGGUGAUCGGCCACACUGGGACUGAGACACGGCCCAGACUCCUACGGGAGGCAGCAGUAGGGAAUCUUCCGCAAUGGACGAAAGUCUGACGGAGCAACGCCGCGUGAACGAAGAAGGCCUUCGGGUCGUAAAGUUCUGUUGUUAGGGAAGAACAAGUACCAGAGUAACUGCUGGUACCUUGACGGUACCUAACCAGAAAGCCACGGCUAACUACGUGCCAGCAGCCGCGGUAAUACGUAGGUGGCAAGCGUUGUCCGGAAUUAUUGGGCGUAAAGCGCGCGCAGGUGGUUCCUUAAGUCUGAUGUGAAAGCCCACGGCUCAACCGUGGAGGGUCAUUGGAAACUGGGGAACUUGAGUGCAGAAGAGGAAAGUGGAAUUCCAAGUGUAGCGGUGAAAUGCGUAGAGAUUUGGAGGAACACCAGUGGCGAAGGCGACUUUCUGGUCUGUAACUGACACU